GAUGAACGCUGGCGGCGUGCCUAAUACAUGCAAGUCGAGCGAACAGACGAGGAGCUUGCUCCUCUGACGUUAGCGGCGGACGGGUGAGUAACACGUGGAUAACCUACCUAUAAGACUGGGAUAACUUCGGGAAACCGGAGCUAAUACCGGAUAAUAUAUUGAACCGCAUGGUUCAAUAGUGAAAGGCGGUUUUGCUGUCACUUAUAGAUGGAUCCGCGCCGCAUUAGCUAGUUGGUAAGGUAACGGCUUACCAAGGCAACGAUGCGUAGCCGACCUGAGAGGGUGAUCGGCCACACUGGAACUGAGACACGGUCCAGACUCCUACGGGAGGCAGCAGUAGGGAAUCUUCCGCAAUGGGCGAAAGCCUAACGGAGCAACGCCGCGUGAGUGAUGAAGGUCUUCGGAUCGUAAAACUCUGUUAUUAGGGAAGAACAAAUGUGUAAGUAACUAUGCACGUCUUGACGGUACCUAAUCAGAAAGCCACGGCUAACUACGUG
rnacentral:rRNA from 1 species